AGUGAACGUUGGCGGCGUGGAUCAGGCAUGCAAGUCGAGCGAGAACCGUAGCAAUACGGGGACAGCGGCGAAAGGGACAGUAAUGUGUAGGUACCUACCUCCGGGUUCGGGAUAGCUGCGGGAAACUGCAGGUAAUACCGAAUAACGUCUCCGGACCAAAGGUGUGAUUCCACCUGGAGAGGGGCCUGCAUCCUAUUAGCUUGUUGGCGGGGUAACGGCCCACCAAGGCGACGAUGGGUAGCGGGUGUGAGAGCACGACCCGUGUCAUUGGGACUGAGACACUGCCCAGACACCUACGGGUGGCUGCAGUCGUGAAUCUUCUGCAAUGGGCGCAAGCCUGACCGAGCGGCGCCGCGUGCGGGAUGAAGGCCUUCGGGUUGUAAACCGCUGUCGUAGAGGAGGAAAUGCAGGGGGGUUCUCCCCUCUGUUUGACCUAUUCUAGGAGGAAGUACGGGCUAAGUUCGUGCCAGCCGCCGCGGUAA
rnacentral:rRNA from 1 species